AACCUCCGCAAUGUGAGAAAUCGCGACGGGGGGAUCCCAAGUGCCAUUCUUAACGGGAUGGCUUUUCUUAAGUGUAAAAAGCUUUUGGAAUAAGAGCUGGGCAAGACCGGUGCCAGCCGCCGCGGUAACACCGGCAGCUCUAGUGGUAGUUGUUUUUAUUGGGCCUAAAGCGUUCGUAGCCGGUUUGAUAAGUCACUGGUGAAAUCCUGUAGCUUAACUGUGGGAAUUGCUGGUGAUACUGUUGAACUUGAGGUCGGGAGAGGUUAGCGGUACUCCCAGGGUAGAGGUGAAAUUUUGUAAUCCUGGGAGGACCACCUGUGGCGAAGGCGGCUAACUGGAACGAACCUGACGGUGAGGGACGAAAGCUAGGGGCGCGAACCGGAUUAGAUACCCGGGUAGUCCUAGCCGUAAACGAUGCGGACUUGGUGUUGGGAUGGGCUUUGAGCCGCUCCGGUGCCGAAGGGAGCUGUAAGUCGCCGCCUGGGAGUACGGUCGCAAGACUGAAACUUAAGGAAUU
rnacentral:rRNA from 1 species